UGCAUUCUGGAAAAGGCAUCAGAGCUAUGAGUGGCUACAAACCCAGCUCCAGUUGUUCUGAUGAGCCUGUGGAUUUCCUGCUCCUCUGCCUGAACCUGUAUUAGCUGCCUUGCUUCCUCCUGCUACCUGCUUGGGCCAGCAUUGCAUCCUCAAUGAGAAAGAAAGUAUAGUACAUGUAAAGCAAUGUAAGUAAAACAAAUACUGCAGUGAGUCCUCAGAAAAUGAAAGAGAGGGUCAACUUGUGCAUGAUGCUACCACCUCUGCACUGCUACCAGCAGGUUGGAAGGAACCUGGUCUUGGAUUAACACAGUUGACCGUUUCGACAUCUGUUACUGCAUUUGGCUGACUGACUGCAGGAAAAGCGAACAAACAAGACACCAAGUAACUCAGCAGCCUGCUUCCACUUGCUCCUCUGCAGACGUAACUGAUGCCAAGGUUAAAAAGUCACCGUGCCUCUCUCUUCAAUAGUUUCUUUAUAGCUUUGUAAAUAUAAUACAAAGAGCACUGCUAAAGCCUCUGGGGUGUGCUGCGCCAUGCUUCCAAGCAUGCAGCUUUGUUGGCUCUGUGUUUAUGUGGCUCGUACACGUCCAGAUUUAAGAGAUAUUGUCUACUUCGGGUUACAAGGGCUUUUGCCUAUUUCUUCUCUGGCCACUGGUAGAUGGGUUUCCAUUUGCUAUAAAUUUUUGGAAGUCCUUGGAUGUUAUAUAUAUUAAACAUUAAGCAUUCUACUAAGUAUAUACUUGUAUCUCAUCUUGGUUUGAUUUAUAUCCUCCCAUCUAUUAAAAAGCAUUUGAUCUAUUUUUUUUAUCGGAUAACGUUUCACUUGCAUAAAGUCUCUCCCAUUUUUUAAAUCUUUUUCCUUUACUGUAAAUUGUCUUAUAAGUUUCUUGUGUGUACCCCUUGCUUAGCCAGGGGUAUGAAUUAUUUCCUCUCUUAUGAAGUUCAUUGUACUCACUUAAGCGAUGGCUUCUCAUAAAACCAAACUUUGAUUAGUUCAAUUUAUCAACCACAAUUCUGUGUUCUUGAUUUUAAGUAAAUUACUCUGUUUUAUAUUAGUAGUCUGCCACAUAUAUAUGGUUGUUUGGUAGAGGCACUGUUUAUAUAUUAUUCUUUUGGGUAAAUGAUUUUCCUGUUAUGCAAGCAUCAAACUAAAACCAGGAUGGCCAUGACACCAUCAUAUCAUGCAAUGAUGAAAUAAAUAUGUGUAUAUGUGUGCCUGUGUGUUCAUUGUGUCUGUUUAGGAGGCCACCAAGGAGAUCCCUGGAACUGGAGUUAGUGGUAUUUUUGAGCCCAUAUACAGAUGCUGGGAGCUGACUCCCUCUGCAACGAGCACUCUCAAUCAUGGGAACACAGGUGACGUAACCUUAUGGGACCACUAUUGUCUGUAAUGGUUAGUCAUUGGCUGGGGCAUCAUUAAUUGACACAUGAUGAUGCUGUUUUGGUGUGUAGAGCAGAACUGUUGUUAUUCUUGGGGCAUGCAGUAAUUGUUUUUCAUUUUUUGGCAAUUUCAUAUAUGUGCAUAAUAAAUUCUGGUCACAUUUCACCCUCCACCCUCUCCUUUGUUUUGCUUUCCUUUUAAACUUUUAAGGAACUGAUACUGUUCUCCACAGUAGCUAAACCAUAUUUGAUUUCCUAUGGCCACUCAAUAGAAAUUCACCUUUUUUUUUUUCACUAAAUUUUUCCCCCAGUGCAGAGGAUCAAAUGCAGGCUUUGUGAUACUAGGUGAGUGUUCUACUGUGCCCUAACUAACAUCAAACUCCCUAUUUAUUUGAUAAAGUCAUCCUGAUGAGAGUAUAAAAUGGGACUAUUUCUCCUCCUCCUCCUCCUCUUCCUCUUCCUCCUCUUCCCCCUUUUCCUCCUCCUCCUCCUCCU